rnacentral:lncRNA from 1 species
UUGGAAACACUCGUGAAAGAGGCAAUUUCUGCUCUUCCCAAGCAUCCUCCUUCUCCUGCCAUGUUAAAACCAUUACUUCUGUGACACAUGGCAAAGUUUUCCAGCUGUAGUGGACCCAAGUAAAGAUCCUGGCUUAAGAACUCUGUUCCCUUACUUGAAAGGAUUACUACCAGGAGAGUGACCAC